CCCGCGGGGCGGGGCGGGCGCGGCGUGAGGGCGGCAGCGGCUGCGGCUGCUCCGCCCUGCGCUCCGUGCCCCGGUGACAUCUCGCUCCUCGUCUCCCGCGGCAUCCUCUGCACAGCUCUUUGCUACACCGGGCACUGCUCCGUGUCCGGUCGUGAGCUGCCGCGUGGGAGUGUGAAAAUGUGUUCAUCCUUCCCCAGGGAUGCUCCUUCUCGUUCCUAAUUCUUUGCGCUCGUUUGAGCUUUAGCUGCGUUCAGACCUGGUUUUCCCGUCCCCUUAGAGGAAAAGUCUUGGCCCCAGUGCAGAUUUAUCAGAGGAACCAGAGGCAGUGCCUGUACUGGAGCCUUCCCACAAGUUUCCAAGGAGAGCCUGCCCUUCUCAGACAGCUGCCAGAAGGUGGCUUGGAGGCACGAGAAGGACAAGGUGAUAUCCAUCAUCUGUGAGGACAAGCUGUGGUGGGACCAACAGGAGCCUUGCCUGGAGGAGGGGAGUGUCCUCGUGGGCCAAGGGAAGAGCAGUGAGAACCAUUUACUGUGACUUUAGCAAGGCCUGUGACAAAGCUCCCCAUGGUAUCCAGGCCCCAUACUGUUGUCAAGCCUGCUGCUUGGAGUGGAGAAGGUUUCCAUCACGGCUUUGACUAUUUCAGGGUUGUUUUGACCCUCUCUCAAUCACAACCUGAUAAAUACCAUAGCUUAGUUAGUUGUGCUACUUAUUUUUUUCUCUCCAGAUACUUACAUGGUUGUUUCAUGUCAGGCUGGAAACUCCUUUAAGUGAAGGGUGGAAAACCUCUGGGUAGGUACAUCCCCAGCUCUCUGGGGCUGUGUCAAUGACCCCUCUGACAGUGGAAAUGCUUAAACUAUGCUAAGGCACGUGGAAGAUUAGGAGGUGAUUGGUGAUGGCCAAACCUGGCUUCAUCAGAGCAAAUCAUGCCUGAAAAUUUUCCUUUAGAAACACAGAAGGACAUAUGUUCAGAGAAACAGGCAUGAUGUUCCCUCCAAAAUAAGAGGGAACUGAGAAUUAGAGUUAGAACUGAGGUGAGACCCAUAAUAUAUUUGGAAGUAUAGAGUUAAGUAGAGGGAGAACUGUUCUGAAGGCAUAGAAUAGUUGUCCUGGUACAGGACAUGAGGAUAAUUUCAGACUUGAAGCCACAUGAAAAAGUCACAAAAAGAGGGCAGAAGAGGAGUGAUACUUUGUGUAAGAAGGAGAGCUGUUUGAGAAGUGGAUCACACUCCCCAGUCCCUCCCUGUCUGAGUCAUUUUCCCCUGCUGUGCUUCCAUGGGGAAUGAAGUGCUGAAGACUGACUGUUUGAUUCAGAGGGCAGUAAGAGCCUUUUGGUCUGGAAGCCAUUUCCCCAGCCUUUCUAGACUGAUCCCAGCAUGAAGCAUCCUUAUGUCCAGUGUUUCAUCCCAUUGUGCUGAAAUGAAACAUUGAUGUUUGUGAACAUCUGUAGACAAUAUUGACAAUUUUGGAAAUUGAAAACAAAACACCCAAAAUAUAUCUGUGUGCUCAUUGGAACAAUGA